rfam:Ailuropoda melanoleuca scaffold126_26, whole genome shotgun sequence.
AAACAGGUCUUACUUAAGACCAUCAAACUUUUAGGACCAGAAACAU